rnacentral:rRNA from 1 species
GGGUUGUGAGGUUAAGCGACUAAGCGUACACGGUGGAUGCCCUGGCAGUCAGAGGCGAUGAAGGACGUGCUAAUCUGCGAAAAGCGUCGGUAAGGUGAUAUGAACCGUUAUAACCGGCGAUGUCCGAAUGGGGAAACCCAGUGUGAUUCGUCACACUAUCGUUAACUGAAUACAUAGGUUAACGAGGCGAACCGGGGGAACUGAAACAUCUAAGUACCCCGAGGAAAAGAAAUCAACCGAGAUUCCCCCAGUAGCGGCGAGCGAACGGGGAGCAGCCCAGAGUCUGAAUCAGCUUGUGUGUUAGUGGAACGGUCUGGAAAGUCCGACGGUACAGGGUGAUAGUCCCGUACACCAAAAUGCACAGGUUGUGAACUCGAAGAGUAGGGCGGGACACGUGGUAUCCUGUCUGAAUAUGGGGGGACCAUCCUCCAAGGCUAAAUACUCCUGACUGACCGAUAGUGAACCAGUACCGUGAGGGAAAGGCGAAAAGAACCCCGGCGAGGGGAGUGAAAAAGAACCUGAAACCGUGUACGUACAAGCAGUGGGAGCACCUUCGGGUGUGACUGCGUACCUUUUGUAUAAUGGGUCAGCGACUUAUAUUCUGUAGCAAGGUUAACCGUAUAGGGGAGCCGCAGGGAAACCGAGUCUUAACUGGGCGUUAAGUUGCAGGGUAUAGACCCGAAACCCGGUGAUCUAGCCAUGGGCAGGUUGAAGGUUGGGUAACACUAACUGGAGGACCGAACCGACUAAUGUUGAAAAAUUAGCGGAUGACUUGUGGCUGGGGGUGAAAGGCCAAUCAAACCGGGAGAUAGCUGGUUCUCCCCGAAAGCUAUUUAGGUAGCGCCUCGUGAACUCAUCUUCGGGGGUAGAGCACUGUUUCGGCUAGGGGGUCAUCCCGACUUACCAACCCGAUGCAAACUACGAAUACCGAAGAAUGUUAUCACGGGAGACACACGGCGGGUGCUAACGUCCGUCGUGAAGAGGGAAACAACCCAGACCGCCAGCUAAGGUCCCAAAGUCAUGGUUAAGUGGGAAACGAUGUGGGAAGGCACAGACAGCCAGGAUGUUGGCUUAGAAGCAGCCAUCAUUUAAAGAAAGCGUAAUAGCUCACUGGUCGAGUCGGCCUGCGCGGAAGAUGUAACGGGGCUAAACCAUGCACCGAAGCUGCGGCAGCGACACUAUGUGUUGUUGGGUAGGGGAGCGUUCUGUAAGCCUGCGAAGGUGUGCUGUGAGGCAUGCUGGAGGUAUCAGAAGUGCGAAUGCUGACAUAAGUAACGAUAAAGCGGGUGAAAAGCCCGCUCGCCGGAAGACCAAGGGUUCCUGUCCAACGUUAAUCGGGGCAGGGUGAGUCGACCCCUAAGGCGAGGCCGAAAGGCGUAGUCGAUGGGAAACAGGUUAAUAUUCCUGUACUUGGUGUUACUGCGAAGGGGGGACGGAGAAGGCUAUGUUAGCCGGGCGACGGUUGUCCCGGUUUAAGCAUGUAGGCUGGUUGUCCAGGCAAAUCCGGAUAAUCAAGGCUGAGGUGUGAUGACGAGGCACUACGGUGCUGAAGUAACAAAUGCCCUGCUUCCAGGAAAAGCCUCUAAGCAUCAGGUAACAUUAAAUCGUACCCCAAACCGACACAGGUGGUCAGGUAGAGAAUACCAAGGCGCUUGAGAGAACUCGGGUGAAGGAACUAGGCAAAAUGGUGCCGUAACUUCGGGAGAAGGCACGCUGGUGUGUAGGUGAAGUCCCUGCGGAUGGAGCUGAGACCAGUCGAAGAUACCAGCUGGCUGCAACUGUUUAUUAAAAACACAGCACUGUGCAAACACGAAAGUGGACGUAUACGGUGUGACGCCUGCCCGGUGCCGGAAGGUUAAUUGAUGGGGUUAUCCGUAAGGAGAAGCUCUUGAUCGAAGCCCCGGUAAACGGCGGCCGUAACUAUAACGGUCCUAAGGUAGCGAAAUUCCUUGUCGGGUAAGUUCCGACCUGCACGAAUGGCGUAAUGAUGGCCAGGCUGUCUCCACCCGAGACUCAGUGAAAUUGAACUCGCUGUGAAGAUGCAGUGUACCCGCGGCAAGACGGAAAGACCCCGUGAACCUUUACUAUAGCUUGACACUGAACAUUGAGCCUUGAUGUGUAGGAUAGGUGGGAGGCUUUGAAGCGUGGACGCCAGUCUGCGUGGAGCCAACCUUGAAAUACCACCCUUUAAUGUUUGAUGUUCUAACGUUGGCCCCUUACCGGGGUUGCGGACAGUGUCUGGUGGGUAGUUUGACUGGGGCGGUCUCCUCCCAAAGCGUAACGGAGGAGCACGAAGGUUAGCUAAUCCUGGUCGGACAUCAGGAGGUUAGUGCAAUGGCAUAAGCUAGCUUGACUGCGAGCGUGACGGCGCGAGCAGGUGCGAAAGCAGGUCAUAGUGAUCCGGUGGUUCUGAAUGGAAGGGCCAUCGCUCAACGGAUAAAAGGUACUCCGGGGAUAACAGGCUGAUACCGCCCAAGAGUUCAUAUCGACGGCGGUGUUUGGCACCUCGAUGUCGGCUCAUCACAUCCUGGGGCUGAAGUAGGUCCCAAGGGUAUGGCUGUUCGCCAUUUAAAGUGGUACGCGAGCUGGGUUUAGAACGUCGUGAGACAGUUCGGUCCCUAUCUGCCGUGGGCGCUGGAGAAUUGAGGGGGGCUGCUCCUAGUACGAGAGGACCGGAGUGGACGCAUCACUGGUGUUCGGGUUGUCAUGCCAAUGGCACUGCCCGGUAGCUAAAUGCGGAAGAGAUAAGUGCUGAAAGCAUCUAAGCACGAAACUUGCCCCGAGAUGAGUUCUCCCUGAGACUUUAAGUCUCCUGAAGGAACGUU